CCUACGGGUGGCUGCAGUGAGGAAUAUUGGUCAAUGGACGAGAGUCUGAACCAGCCAAGUAGCGUGAAGGAUGACUGCCCUAUGGGUUGUAAACUUCUUUUAUAUGGGAAUAAAAUGUGCCACGUGUGGGAUUUUGUAUGUAACAUAUGAAUAAGGAUAGGCUAACUCCGUGCCAGCAGCCGCGGUAAUACGGAGGAUCCGAGCGUUAUCCAGAUUUAUUGGGUUUAAAGGGAGCGUAGGUGGAUUGUUAAGUCAGUUUUGCAAGUUUGCGGCUCCACCGUAAAAUUGCAGUUGAAACUGGCAGUCUUGAGUACAGUAUCGGUGGGCGGACUUCGUGGUGUAGCCG
rnacentral:rRNA from 1 species